UGGCCCGUGGUCUAACGGCAGGACACCGGUCUUUGGAACCGGGGGUGGUGGUUCGACUCCACCCGGGCCAA
rnacentral:tRNA from 1 species